UUGUUUUGUCACUGUAUAAUUGUCAGUCCUAGUUUGUUUUGUCACUGUAUAAUUGUCAGUCCUAGUUUGUUUUGUCACUGUAUAAUUGUCAGUCCUAGUUUGUUUUGUCACUGUAUAAUUGUCAGUCCUAGUUAGUUUUGUCACUGUAUAAUUGUCAGUCCUAGUUUGUUUUGUCACUGUAUAAUUGUCAGUCCUAGUUUGUUUUGUCACUGUAUAAUUGUCAGUCCCAGCCAGGCGCCUCUUCCAUGUAAAGAUAUCGGCAGCUUCAAGCCUUGCCGAUAUCUCAAUCCGUACAUGAAUGUGAAUUAACCGAAAUUCUAGUUAAUGUCUGCAUGGUGCUCUCUCUCAUAAUGCUGCUUUAAAUUUUCAAUCUCACUCACAAUCCGGGGUUAGUAAUAUAUUUUGUUGCCAUGAGUUAACUCCCCGUGAUGGCCAGUUUCAUGCACUAUACAAAAGUAAUUUUACUUUCGCAUAGCUAUAAUUCUGCACCCAUGUCUAAGCGCCAAUUUCACAGUUCUCCAUGACGGGUUAGUAAGCUCCCAAACCAGUACCAGAGCCUUCAAAAUUUCCCUGUAUAGUGUCUGGUGUUUAUAUUCAAGUUCACAAAUUUGACGAAACUAUACAGGAAAGGUUUUAUAUAUUCAUGAUAUGAAGGAAAGGGAAGAGAAGGAGAUGAGAUUGAGAGACGAGUGAGCCGAGAUCCUGCUUAUAUUCAAGUUCACAAAUUUGACGAGACUACAGGAAAAGCUCUGUGUUUAUGAUAUGAAGGAAAGGGAAGAGAAGGGAGAUGAGAUUGAGAGAUGAGAUCCUGUUUAUAAUCAAGUUCACAAAUUUGACAAAACUAUUCAGGAAAGGUCUUGUGUGUUUAUGCUACGAAGGAAAGGGAAGAGAAGGGAGAUGAGUGAGCUGAGAUCCUGUUUAUAUUCAAGUCCACAAAUUUGAUGACACAAUACAGGAAAAGCUCUGUGUAUUUAGUGUGUCAUCGAAGACCGCGCCAUUUUGAACAGUAUGGGAUUCUAUAGCUUGGUUCAGGAGUGUUACAAAGAUUGUGAUGGACUGUGGAAGCGGCCCUUAAUGUUCCCUUUUCUAAUAUGCCUCUCUGUUUUUGCAGGAUGCCGCGGACGGACCAUGCAGAGGACUCAUCGCGACGACACCAACGGUUUGGUUAAGUGGGUUCUCUUGUGUGUGCGUCUGUGUGUGAAUGGCAGGCCUGUCGUAUGAUUGUGUGUGUGUGUGCGUUGGCGUUAUGCCUUCGCACUAUUAUUUUGUUAGGAUGUAUUUUUGUGUGUGAACUUUUUGCACGUAAUCUUUUUUUAUACCCAUAGCUAGCGUUUGUUUGUGUAGCAGUGUUCCGGGAGAUGGACGCCAGGGGACAUGGGCUUGGGGAGGCGCACAUGACCUCCUCUGUCCGUGAUCUCUUCAGCUGGGGAGACCGCGUGUUGUCCCAGCUGGAGAGACACGUCGAUGGAGGCGGUUGCGUGUGUCGUCCCUUGCCUGUAUCCUCUGGCGUCCAGAGGCGCGUAAGUGGAGAGCAUCGGCGCAGCGCGGGAGCAGCACGUCAGGGUGUAGGGUGUUUGUUUAGCUGGUGUAGGGAGCUUAGGGUGUUAGGGUGUUAGGUGUAACACCGGUUGGCUCUUUCACAGAACGGGUGUAAUUCCGUUCUGCGUUUGAGUCUUCCACCUUCAGGCGGUCUCCCUCCGAGAUGUCUGAAGUUUUUUUGUCGGUUUUCUCCGUAGGAGGAAGCCGACUCUAGCUACUCUGGCCUCUCUUCCGGGGGUCAGAGCGGUCGGGCUCUGCUUGGCCAGGCGUUAGUCUUUCGCGUUGUCUCCGCCGACGUUUUGCCAGACUCUUCCGUAAGGUUGAGCCUGGCUUUUUUAUUAGGUGGAUCAGGCUGCCUUCUUCCAAGGAGUCUGAUGGGAGUGGAGUCUUUUUUUUGGUGUAUGUCUGUGGGUGCUCAGUGGGUAAGGGCGGGUGGGGUAGAAUGGUUGGUGGGCUGGAAGUGGGUUGGGGGAUGAACCUUCUGGGAUUUGGGUUGUGUCGAGCCUUACCGCCUGGUGUGUUGGGUAACCUUCACGCCAGGGGGGGGGUGCCAAGACCAUAUCCAUUUCCUGGGGCAGGGCGAUUCCCCUUUCCCAUGCUAACUGGCCCUCCUCCGUCUGCCUCCCCAAACCCCCGCUGAGUGCUUGUGUGUGUUAUUUUUAUUUAGGAUGUCUUUUUUUUGUAUGCCUUUUUCCCGUGUGUUUAUACCCAAUAGCUAGCGUGUGUGUGUGUGUGGCAGUCCGGAGGCGCGAGGCAGCGAGGACAUCACAUCACGUCACUACGGUAUAUCCACGGUAUUUGGUUUAGUGUGUGCUGUGUGUGUUUGUGUGUGUGAUGGCAGGCCUGCCGUGUGUUUGACCUUUUGCUGUGUGUUGCUGUGUGACUGCUAGGAUUUCAUUUCUAUGCAUGUUUUUUUUCCCCAUAACCCCCUUCCUCCCUAGCUCUUUAGCUGUUGUCCCUGGCGAGGCGCUGGGUGGAUGCUGCCGGGCGAUCAACGGCGGUGGCGGUGUGCAACGCGGGAGCUGCUGAGGUUUGGGUAGCACUACGGUGCAGGUUAUGUAGGGUGUGUGAGUUUUUUUUUUGUGUGAGUGUCUUUUUUUUGUGUGGGGUGUUAGCUAAUCACUGUGUCAGGAAGGCAUGGGCGUGGCCGUCUGUCCAUCAGGCCGACGGGCGGGUGUGCCACCUGGCAGUCAGGCUAGCAGGUGACAGGCAAGCUAUCUGGUGGUCAGGCUGUCAGUCGGGCCAUCAGAUAGGUAGGCAGGCCACCUUGCGGUCGGGUUGUCGGGCGGGCACCCCACCCUCGGUCAGGUAGGCAGGCAGCAGCGUCUAUGCUGAGCCGUGCGGCUGCAC